rnacentral:rRNA from 1 species
GGGUGAGUUAUACAUCGGAACAUGUCCUGUAGUGGGGGAUAGCCCGGCGAAAGCCGGAUUAAUACCGCAUACGAUCUACGGAUGAAAGCGGGGGACCUUCGGGCCUCGCGCUAUAGGGUUGGCCGAUGGCUGAUUAGCUAGUUGGUGGGGUAAAGGCCUACCAAGGCGACGAUCAGUAGCUGGUCUGAGAGGACGACCAGCCACACUGGGACUGAGACACGGCCCAGACUCCUACGGGAGGCAGCAGUGGGGAAUUUUGGACAAUGGGCGAAAGCCUGAUCCAGCAAUGCCGCGUGUGUGAAGAAGGCCUUCGGGUUGUAAAGCACUUUUGUCCGGAAAGAAAUCCUUGGCUCUAAUACAGCCGGGGGAUGACGGUACCGGAAGAAUAAGCACCGGCUAACUACGUGCCAGCAGCCGCGGUAAUACGUAGGGUGCGAGCGUUAAUCGGAAUUACUGGGCGUAAAGCGUGCGCAGGCGGUUUGCUAAGACCGAUGUGAAAUCCCCGGGCUCAACCUGGGAACUGCAUUGGUGACUGGCAGGCUAGAGUAUGGCAGAGGGGGGUAGAAUUCCACGUGUAGCAGUGAAAUGCGUAGAGAUGUGGAGGAAUACCGAUGGCGAA